GGGCUUCUUUAGUGGCAAACGGGUGCGUAACGCGUAAGCAACCUGCCCUCAACUGGGGGAUAGCCCGGCGAAAGCUGGGGUAAACCCGCACGGUCCUGUGGAGUCACCUGGCUUUAGAGGUAAACAUUGAUGGGUUGAGGAGGGGCUUGCGUCUGAUUAGGUAGUUGGGGGGGUAAUGGCCCACCAAGCCGAUGAUCAGUAGGGGUUCUGAGAGGAUUGGCCCCCACAUGGGUACUGAGAUACGGACCCA
rnacentral:rRNA from 1 species